CCAGACUCCUACGGGAGGCAGCAGUGGGGAAUAUUGCACAAUGGGGGAAACCCUGAUGCAGCGACGCCGCGUGAGUGAAGAAGUAUUUCGGUAUGUAAAGCUCUAUCAGCAGGGAAGAAAAUGACGGUACCUGACUAAGAAGCCCCGGCUAACUACGUGCCAGCAGCCGCGGUAAUACGUAGGGGGCAAGCGUUAUCCGGAUUUACUGGGUGUAAAGGGGGCGCAGACGGCGAUGCAAGCCAGGAGUGAAAGCCCGGGGCCCAACCCCGGGACUGCUCUUGGAACUGCGUGGCUGGAGUGCAGGAGGGGCAGGCGGAAUUCCUGGUGUAGCGGUGAAAUGCGUAGAUAUCAGGAGGAACACCGGUGGCGAAGGCGGCCUGCUGGACUGCAACUGACGUUGAGGCCCGAAAGCGUGGGGAGCAAACAGGAUUAGAUACCCCAGUA
rnacentral:rRNA from 1 species